UACGGGGGGAGCAAGCGUUGUUCGGAUUUACUGGGCGUAAAGGGCGCGUAGGCGGUCGUGACAAGUCACUUGUGAAAUCUCCGGGCUUAACUCGGAACGGUCAAGUGAUACUGUCGGACUAGAGUACAGAAGGGGCAACUGGAAUUCUCGGUGUAGCGGUGAAAUGCGUAGAUAUCUGGAGGAAUACCGGUGGCGAAGGCGGCAUCCUGGACCGAGAUUGACGCUGAUGAGCGAAAGCUAGGGGAGCAAACGGG
rnacentral:rRNA from 1 species